GCUGCGUCUUUAAUUGGGCGGAUGUGAGCAUUCGACAUGAUCCCCGAAGCGCAAGCCACUACCAUAAUAGUUACGUGCAGUGCGAGGUGAGCUAAGCUUCGCCGCCUAACCGCGGCCUGAAAAUGUGGCGGCUCGUUAAGGGCUUACUGCGGUGCGCGUGUGUGAGUGUUUGUACAGCGAUCAUUUGAGCGAGAACCGGCGGCGCUUCUUUGUGCGCGGUAUCUGCUAGCUGGCGCGUACGUGGCGCCAAUCCCCUAGCUCGUGCGAUUGUGUGCAGUAGGUCGCCCACUUAGCGCGCAUUGUGCAGAUUUGCCAGUACGCUCCUUUCUAUCGUCUGUGUCUCUUCGCGCCCACGUCGUUGAUUGUGCAGGCAGUGCGCGACUGCGGCACGUAGCAUGUAGAGCCUGCGCACGUCGACUUUGAUCUACGGGCGUGAAAUGUCGGCGGCGCGUUUGUGGUAUUAAAAGCGUGUGGUGAGCUUCCAACGGCACUACGGGUCAACGCCGCAUGAGCUGCCGGUCAGAGUAUAAGAACCUCUUUAUUGUUAGCGUACUGCUUGGCGGUAACAGGUGUCCUGCUUGGGUUCAGAUUACUGGAUACGCCGUCACUUGAACCUCGGCGGCCGGAGCAGGUGAGUACCAGUGGCGCCGGCACCUCGGCCGGCAGAAAACGGUGCCCGUGCCGUGACGAGAUAUAUCAAUUUACGCGAUAGCAUUGCCGGUGAUAGGUCAUACGGGCGCGUCGCUCCAUGCCUGUGUUCUUUGCUGAGGCCGCCACUACGCCUGCGGUGCACUUACUACGUUAUAUCUAUAUAGUCGAUGCUUGUGCAAUGUUGUUAUUCAACAGCUGGCGCUGUGCUCUGGAUACCUGAACUUGUUUAAUGUUUAAUUACUUUGCUGCUGUGCCAUUGCCUAUUGGGUACAGAUAUUUAGUAUUGAAUUCUAGGUGCCAAAUUAACACAAAGAAGUUGCGCUUUUCAACUCAGGAUCAUAUCACACAUCACAGCGUCAUCCUAUAUUGCACGAGUAUUAAUAACAAAAUUUCUGUUGCUGGUUAAAAGAAAAAUAGCGCAGACCGAUCAACCUGUAACCUGUAUCUGUGAGAAAAAUGUGCUUCAAGUCCGCGAUUGUCUAUAAAAAAAGGUACUACCUUGGUAUUCAAUGUCAGUAACACUCAUAAGUUAUGCAUCCUUUUGUGUGAAAUAAUUUGUCUUAGAAGCCAUUCAUUGUAAGGGAUCAGUAAACAUCUCAUAGCUUAAGUAGUGCAUAUGUGCAUGAGUUGGGCAAAGGUAUUGGUUUGUAAAGAGCAAAGCCAUUAAGAUAUAAAAUAUUGGCAAGCUUAGUUUAACAAUAAGCUGACGAAUAUACAAAACCUAAUGUAGCAGCAGAUGUUCUCCAAGAUAAGCUUGUGACCAGCUUUUUUGUGUUCUGUGUGAUCACUGUAGUGUCAAAUUUUUCAUUUUUAUUUCAGGACUGCGGCUGCGGUCGUUUCAUGGCCGGAGAUCGGGCGCCUCCCAUCAGUUUCCCUUUUCAGCAAUAGAGGCCUUGGAGGCCUUUCUACCUGCGUUGCAUCCUGUGGCUGGACCACUCCCACGAUCUCGGCAGAAUCGUUACACAGGAAGAAGUCUGGCUGGCCCCAAGCCUGGUGCAAAAUGAAGAAAUGGCACUCCACAUCAAUUCAUGUUUACUUGUCGUCAUAACCAGUCUGUUAGCUUAAUUUUUGGUUCUUCCUAUUGAAUUCUCAAGAAAGGUACCAACUCUGUCAUUCACUCUGCAAACAAAUUUUUGCACUUGGGGAUGCAGCCAUGCACAAAGCCUUUGAGCUCAUUAAUAUCUUUAUUUUUUAAAGAAAGUGCAGCAGCUGCGUGGAGCAAUAGGUUGAAUAAGACGAGGGUAAAUGAAAAGAUGGCGAAAUUAGUCAUCAACAGUUGUGCAACAAAGGAAGUCUCAAGCUGGAGGCAACAUCUUUGCAAGAGAACCAAAUGGCUCCAGCCUGAGACAUUCGUUGUUCAACCUGGCAAGUCUCCUUCUCUAAAUAUUUCCUCUAGCCUGAGACCUAUAUCCAUUCCACCACCCUUGACCAACAAUACACCUAUACAUUUGGCAACCCAUGGAAAGGUAGCAAAUUCACAUUCAAGGAAAGGGAAUGUAGUGUGCACCCUGGAAGGUAGCAUGAACAGUAUUUUAUUUACUUAAUGAAAUGCAGAUUUGCUAUCCAAUUACUUUAUUUUGAUCCCCGUUUUAUAAUUGGACAGCAUGGUUCCUCAGAGAGAAUAAUAAUUCGAAGCUCACACAAUUUUGCUCCUUUAUGUCCGUUAAAUCUGUCCUGGUUGCUACACUAUCAGCCCUGUCUGCAAUUGCGUAGCAGUGUUUUGAGCAUGCAUCCAAAUUCAAAAGAAUAGUUAGGCUUCUACCUCAGAAUGUUUGCUACUGUGUUGCAGCUCGAAUUCUAUGUCUAGGUGGUCACUGUGAUGCCAUGUGCUUUUUAAAUAAGACCAAUACGCUAUUUGAAGGGCAAUUAAAUGCAAUCUCAAAUGACCUCAGCUCGGGGAAUGACACAAUUGGAGGUCAAUGUGAUAAGGAGGAUUUGAUUUCUGAAAACAAGGCACUUAAAUGGGAGAAAGCAUGACUAAUUUCGUAUAAAGAUGCUGCUUUUGGAUAUGAUCAGGGAAGGUACUUGUUCGUGGCUGCAUUUGCAACAUGUUACAUUGCUGGCUUUAUAUAUUGCACUGGGUACAGUGAAAUGUUGCUGCUUGCACAAUAUUCAACUAAACAUGGUAGCCAUGCUAAUGUGUCCAUGCAGAACACAACUCAUCCACUAUUAUGGACUACAGUGGAAUCUCGAUAAACGAAAAUCGCUUCGAAACUGCCGCUUAAAUAGGACACCAUCCUGAUAAUUGGUUGGCUCUCUGCAAUGUCUCUCAGUAAAUAUAAUGCCUGGUAAAUGGAACCAAUUUCCCUGGCACCUUGAGGCUCCAUUUAAAGAGCACCCACUGUAAAAAUAUAGGGGGGAUCGUGUUUGGAACUUUCGUAAAUGUAGUCUUAAACAAAACCGCAUUUCAGUGGGAGCGAAAUGCAAAAGCACCUGUGUACUUAGACAGGUGCAUGGUAAAGAACCCCAGGUUGUCCAAAUUAAUUCGGGUUACUCGCUAUGGCAUGUGUCAUAAUCAGAAGGUGGGUUCUGGUUCGUAAAAUACAAUAAUUUUUAAUAGCUUGCUCAGAAAUCCAGCACUAAAUUAUGUAGCUUGUUUGUGUGAUGAGUCCCAAUUUCUUAAUUUAGUACUUUGACAUUUAUCAUAUUUGUGUGCUUGUCCAUGCAAAAUACCACUGAUCGGCCUCAUUAUACCAGCCACUGUUAAUUAGGAAUGGCUUAGUCAAGCAACUUAAACUUACAGCACAAACACCUAAGACGAACCACAAAAGGAAGAUACAACACACACUGGUGCUAACUUCUUUAUUUCUUCGUCGUCGAUGCAAUAUAAACCCUAGGCCACACUACCUCGCAGGCACUCAGAUUACAUUACAGAGAUCUGCCAAAUUAUCACAUACGCAAGCGUAGGAAGUCAAAUUCAGAUGGAUGCAGGGACAAAGAUAUCUUACUAAUGCAAUUAUCGCCCUGCCUUUCUUGUGGUAAGCCUCUAAGGCAAGCCGCACAUGCUCAUUCUUGCUUUUGCCAAGAAUCGACGUCCCAUCAAGUUGUGCCUCACAAUUGUUGCAAGAGUUUAUAUGCGCACCAAGGUGCGCUCCUCUAUCUACAUUUUUGUUUACUUGUUGCGCAUGUUCCCUGAGUCGCUCAUUGAUGCAAUGCCCUAUCUAGCCAAGCUAUGUCUUAGCACAUGAGAGUGAAUUGUAUAAACCACGCCGACCGCGCACAACACGUAUGAAGCAUCAUGCCGAAUUUGGCGUCCUCCUCUGCCCUCUCCGCAGGUGCGGGAGCAUAGCUUUAAAAGCUUGUUCGGUGCAGAAAACGCCAAAGGAACACUAUGCCUGCAAGCAAUUUUCUUGAGUUGAUAGAUGACCUUAUGUGUUUAAGGGACCGCGCAGGGAACAUGCACAAAAAGUAAACAAAAAUGUAGAUAGAAGAGUGCACAUUGUUGCGCAUAUAAACUCUUGCAAAAAUUGUGAGGCACGACUUGAUGGGACGUCGAUUCUUGGCAAAAGCAUGAAUGAGCUUGCGCGGCUUGCCUUAGAGGCCUACGACAUAAAAAGGCGAAAUGAUAAUUGCAUCAGUGACAUAGCUUUGUCCCUGCACCCAUCUGAAUUUGAGUUCCUACGUUUGCAUAUGUGAUAAUUUGGGAGAUCUCUGUAAUGUAAUGUGUGCGCCUGUGCAGUUGUGUGGCCUAGGGCAUAUAUAUGCAUCGACGACGAAGAAAUAAAGAAGUUGUCAGUUAGUGCCAGCGUGUGUCGUAUCUGCCUUUUGCGGUUCGUCUUAGGUGUUUGCACUGUAAGUUUUAAGUUCAGAAUUAUGUGCCAACUAGGCCAAAUGAAGUUUUACUCUUAGUCAAGCGAGCUCAAUAUAUAGUCUGUGCAAAAGUGUGGAGCGUCAGUACAAAGUAACAGUUCAAACACAUGGCUCUGUAGUUACAGUUCAGUAUGAAACGAGAUAAGAUUUCUUAGCAUUUCUUUCAUUUACUAAUUUCAUUGUAUUAGGACAUGUAGAAUACUAGCAACUGGCAUGCUUACAAUGUACAGUGCUCUUUUUUAAAAUCCAGACAAUUGUUUUACUGGGGCAGAAAUGUGCUUUCUUUUGGGCCCGGAAGUGAACAUAUUAUAUUUCUUACAUUUGGUGUAAAAUAAAUUUUCUUCACUGUCA